GACGAACGCUGGCGGCGUGCUUAACACAUGCAAGUCGAACGGAAAGGCCCUGCUUUUGUGGGGUGCUCGAGUGGCGAACGGGUGAGUAACACGUGAGUAACCUGCCCUUGACUUUGGGAUAACUUCAGGAAACUGGGGCUAAUACCGGAUAGGAGCUCCUGCUGCAUUGUGGGGGGUGGAAAGUUUCGGCGGUUGGGGAUGGACUCGCGGCUUAUCAGCUUGUUGGUGGGGUAGUGGCUUACCAAGGCUUUGACGGGUAGCCGGCCUGAGAGGGUGACCGGCCACAUUGGGACUGAGAUACGGCCCAGACUCCUACGGGAGGCAGCAGUGGGGAAUAUUGCACAAUGGGCGGAAGCCUGAUGCAGCAACGCCGCGUGCGGGAUGACGGCCUUCGGGUUGUAAACCGCUUUCGCCUGUGACGAAGCGUGAGUGACGGUAAUGGGUAAAGAAGCACCGGCUAACUACGUG
rnacentral:rRNA from 1 species